rnacentral:rRNA from 1 species
GACGAACGCUGGCGGCGUGCUUAACACAUGCAAGUCGAACGGAAAGGCCCUGCUUUUGUGGGGUGCUCGAGUGGCGAACGGGUGAGUAACACGUGAGUAACCUGCCCUUGACUUUGGGAUAACUUCAGGAAACUGGGGCUAAUACCGGAUAGGAGCUCCUGCUGCAUGGUGGGGGUUGGAAAGUUUCGGCGGUUGGGGAUGGACUCGCGGCUUAUCAGCUUGUUGGUGGGGUAGUGGCUUACCAAGGCUUUGACGGGUAGCCGGCCUGAGGGGGUGACCGGCCACAUUGGGACUGAGAUACGGCCCAGACUCCUACGGGAGGCAGCAGUGGGGAAUAUUGCACAAUGGGCGGAAGCCUGAUGCAGCAACGCCGCGUGCGGGAUGACGGCCUUCGGGUUGUAAACCGCUUCCGCCUGUGACGAAGCGUGAGUGACGGUAAUGGGUAAAGAAGCACCGGCUAACUACGUG